GUUCGCGGCCGCCAUCUUGGGUGCCUCGGCCGCCAUCUUGUCUCCUUCAACGGCACCGCGAACAAUGCACGGCGUGGCCCGAAAAUGGCGACGCUUUUUUGACACGGUCAAGGCCUGCGAGGCGAGAAAUAUGGGCUGCGAGGCGCGCGAUUCGACGGAGGGGUCGCUCCGACACGGUGGUUUUGUAGAAGCAGGCGUCGCGAGUGGGAAAGUAUGCGCGUGAAAACCGGGUUGACGCGGGGUGCAGCCAAGAUGGCCGCCCCCAUUGUUCGGGCCGACUGGCCAACAGCUGACGGCUCUACGACCUUGCCCACUGUUCGGGGGUCGCUUAGGGUCGAUGUCUUUAUACUACGUAUGUGAGGGAAUUGAUAAAUAUCUCUUAGACCCCGAUAUCUCUUAGCUUUCGAGGUUACUAAUGAGAUGGCACUUGGAGCACGCUCUCUCUGAACGAGCGUAUCAGUUCUGGGUAAAAUGUUGUCGCUACUUUUCAGGUUUACCUCUAAUUCCAGGUCUACCCUGACACGUUUCUCCACUCCUUUAGUAUUCUACCGCUCCUUUAGUUCGAUCCAUUCUCUACAUCUCUCACAGAGAGAAGAUCCUGAAUGACUCGCAACCCGAUACAGGAAUAUGUGAAACUGUGGUACGGCAUUGGUAUCUACCGUAACUCGCAAGGGAUGUGUUUGCAAACUUGAAGUAUAAUUUGUUUUAGAAUAGGAAACACCCUUAAGUUGUUAGAUCUCACCAUUCGCAACGUCAAAAAUCAUUGCUCGAGCCCUCUUUCAUCAUCUUACGUCCGUGCAUCGUCGGUGAAUCUAAUCGAUAAUGUCAAAAGAUAGAUCUCGGCUUUACUUCAUGGUAUCGCUUAACAAUAAAUAAGACGACACGUCCGAGCCAUAUGGUAGUCACGAGAUAUGUACGCACCCAUUAGUGUUUAGUGUCUAGAAUGUUAUUAUUUACAUAAUGUGUAACACUGUGCGUUGUGUAGAGAUUAAUUAAGACAAACCGGAGGAACCCGGUUGCAAGCUCGUUGGUUAAAAAAUGUAUCCGUGCCGCCAAGAAGGUUCACACGAUGCUCGAUUAAUCGUUGCAAAAGAGUGAGAGUGAGAGAGCGGGGAAGGCUGAGUAUAAAACUUUUUUUUGUACGACCUGUGUAGACCAAGGAAGACCUCCAGAGAGUCAAAUAAAUCAAAUUGAACUUUA